rnacentral:rRNA from 1 species
UGGGGAAUUUUGGACAAUGGGGGAAACCCUGAUCCAGCCAUCCCGCGUGUGCGAUGAAGGCCUUCGGGUUGUAAAGCACUUUUGGCAGGAAAGAAACGUCGCGGGUUAAUACCCCGCGAAACUGACGGUACCUGCAGAAUAAGCACCGGCUAACUACGUGCCAGCAGCCGCGGUAAUACGUAGGGUGCAAGCGUUAGUCGGAAUUACUGGGCGUAAAGCGUGCGCAGGCGGUUCGGAAAGAAAGAUGUGAAAUCCCAGAGCUUAACUUUGGAACUGCAUUUUUAACUACCGGGCUAGAGUGUGUCAGAGGGAGGUGGAAUUCCGCGUGUAGCAGUGAAAUGCGUAGAUAUGCGGAGGAACACCGAUGGCGAAGGCAGCCUCCUGGGAUAACACUGACGCUCAUGCACGAAAGCGUGGGGAGCAAACAGGAUUAGAUACCCUGGUAGUCCACGCCCUAAACGAUGUCAACUAGCUGUUGGGGCCUUCGGGCCUUGGUAGCGCAGCUAACGCGUGAAGUUGACCGCCUGGGGAGUACGGUCGCAAGAUUAAAACUCAAAUGAAUUGACGGGGGUCGAU